GCUUAGUUAGCAUAAAAGUAAUGCGAUUGUUUUGUAAUCAUUAGACACAAGUGCGAUACUUGUACUAGGCU
rnacentral:tRNA from 2 species